rnacentral:rRNA from 1 species
UACGAAGGGGGCUAGCGUUGCUCGGAAUCACUGGGUUUAAAGGGUGCGUAGGUGGUCCGUUAAGUUCGUUGUGAAAGCCCUGGGCUCAACCCAGGAACUGCUUCGAAUACUGGCGGACUUGAGGCUAGUAGGGGUUACUGGAACUGACGGUGGAGCGGUGAAAUGCGUAGAUAUCGUCAGGAACGCCAAUGGUGAAGACAGGUAACUGGGCUAGUUCUGACACUGAGGCACGAAAGCGUGGGGAGCGAACGGG